CCUUGAUCUCGUAGCCGGCGCCAGCAGCCGCGCUUUGGGGCGUCGGCUCACGUGGGGCCGGCAACGCGUCUUCCAGGAUGUUCGCGCGCUAGUCGCCGCUGAGGGGCCGGCGAUGCGCGAGGAGUUCCGGCGAGGAAGGUCGGUCAGUGGACAUGGCCGAGGCCCGCGGUGUCCGCGUGUGGGAGCUGCAGGGCUGAGGAGAGGCCGCCCGCAACCCUCGGGAAUCGUGUGAGGUGCCACUGGGGUCGCUUCACAUCAGGAGGCCCCGUCUCGGGGGACGCGCGCAGGCACAACUGCUUAAAGAAACCAGAUGGCCCCAGGAUGGUGCCAGAGCUUCCUGACCCCUUAUCAGAUACCAGAGGAAGAUAAGACUGCAGAGCGGAACAGGAUAGGCAACCCCUGGUUGGCUUCAGAUCAUUAUCAUGUCGUUAUAAUGCUAAAAUUCCUUCUCCUAAAAGAAAGUCUCCACCAUUUUGUGUACAUGUGAUGUAUGAAGACGUAUGUUUAUGAAUUGUGUGUGCACAUUUAGAGUCU
rnacentral:lncRNA from 10 species